rnacentral:rRNA from 1 species
GACGAACGCUGGCGGCGUGCCUAAUACAUGCAAGUAGAACGCACAGUUUAUACCGUAGCUUGCUACACCAUAGACUGUGAGUUGCGAACGGGUGAGUAACGCGUAGGUAACCUGCCUGUUAGCGGGGGAUAACUAUUGGAAACGAUAGCUAAUACCGCAUAAUAUUGAUUAUUGCAUGAUAAUUGAUUGAAAGAUGCUAUUGCAUCACUACCAGAUGGACCUGCGUUGUAUUAGCUAGUAGGUGAGGUAACGGCUCACCUAGGCGACGAUACAUAGCCGACCUGAGAGGGUGAUCGGCCACACUGGGACUGAGACACGGCCCAGACUCCUACGGGAGGCAGCAGUAGGGAAUCUUCGGCAAUGGACGAAAGUCUGACCGAGCAACGCCGCGUGAGUGAAGAAGGUUUUCGGAUCGUAAAGCUCUGUUGUAAGAGAAGAACGGGUGUGAGAGUGGAAAGUUCACACUGUGACGGUAUCUUACCAGAAAGGGACGGCUAACUACGUG